GGCAUCUUGACUGUGCUUGUUCCUUUCUCCGUGCUUCAGGACAACCUUGCUAUAUAACAUCAGCUAGUCUUGAACUGGGUGAAGUUCUUCUAUAUCAGCCCCUAGAGUCCCUGGUUGAUAUGAUGCUCCGCUCAUGAUGUCUGGCAGAU